GACAGAGGUGCCGAGCGUUAGGCGGAAUCACUGGGCUUAAAGCGUGUGUAGGCGGGCCGUUAAGUGUCUUGUGAAAUCCCCCGGCUCAACCGGGGAAUUGCUGGGCAUACUGGCGGUCUUGAGCAAUCUAGGGGCAGAUGGAACAAGUGGUGGAGCGGUGAAAUGCGUAGAUAUCACUUGGAACGCCAAGGGUGAAGACAGUCUGCUGGGGAUUUGCUGACGCUGAGACACGAAAGCCAGGGGAGCGAACGGG
rnacentral:rRNA from 1 species